UACGUAGGGGGCGAGCGUUGUCCGGAUUUAUUGGGCGUAAAGAGCGUGUAGGCGGCCAGGUAGGUCCGUUGUGAAAACUCGAGGCUCAACCUCGAGACGUCGAUGGAAACCAUCUGGCUAGAGUCCGGAAAAGGAGAGUGGAAUUCCUGGUGUAGCGGUGAAAUGCGCAGAUAUCAGGAAGAACACCUAUGGCGAAGGCAGCUCUCUGGGACGGUACUGACGCUGAGACGCGAAAGCGUGGGGAGCGAACAGG
rnacentral:rRNA from 1 species